AAUUGUUUACUAGCACAAAACCUUAUGACAUCAUUAAGGAGGCUACUAAACAAAUUAAGAUCCAUUUCUUGGGAAUGGGUUUUUUCGAAGGAUCCGCAGAAGAGAAACGCAAGAAAUAUCAUCAGGCACUCUACAAUCUAAGAUUAAUGGUGCUAGAGCCAAAAGCUCUUGAUGAAUUUCUACGUCUUUAUACCCUAUAUGUUCAUAUGGGGGUGGUUGAUGCUCAAACCGCCA
rnacentral:lncRNA from 1 species